GGCACUUGCAGGGGCAUCUUAGCCUUUUGUGAGUAAUUUCCUUAUUUAAAGAGAAAAAUGAUCAGUAUAGCUAAGUAGAAUUCUAUCCCAGAUGCAACCCCAUGAAUCUACCUUCCACAACUCCCAGGUAAUUAACAGAAAAAUAAACUCCUGGAAACUACAUUGUUAACUCUCUGUCUACAUUUAAUCAUUACAACCACCUGCACUUGGAAGUGUGGCCAAGGGACCAAAACCAAGACAGAGAGAAAAUCUGGAGGUGGAGAGCAAAGGAGGGAUUUUUGCUGCAGAAAUGCUUUCCUUUUUGUUGUGGUUCUCCUCCUUGCAAGCCAUUGUGUCAUUCUGGAAGGCUGCGCGUGAAAAUGAAGUUUGCCAUGUCUUUGGGUAGCCUGUGCAGAAUGCCUGAGGUUCUGCUGCCAGUAUCUGAAGGAGGUUUCACUUGUGCCUGUUUUAUCCCUUUCUACUGCAUGAGUCCUGGGGAAAAGAUUGAAAAGCUGCUGCUGUCUCUCAAGGAGGCUUUUGCUGGAAUUCCUGCAUGGAACAGGAGAAGUGGGAUGCCUGAGAGAAAGCCACAAAAGCUUAAUGGGCUGCCAUGUAGGAAAUGAAGUUCUUUGUAAAACAACCACUAGAGGACAGUUUUGGUAAGUCAUAAAAGUCCCAGGACCACCAUCAACAUUAUCUGGAGGAUCUUUCAACCCCCAGCAAAAUGCUGCAGAGUGAGAGUCCAGAGUACAGGUAGUCCUUGCCUAGUGAUCACAACUGGCAACUCCAUCUCUAAGCAACACAGUCACUAAGCAAAACAUCAAGUGACCACAAUGGGCUUACAAUCUCACUUCCACAGUGGUGGGUUAAGUGAGACAUCACGUGACUGUGACUUGCAAUUUUACUGAUGUCUUCUCUGUUGACUCAGCUUGUUGGGAGCUGUUUGUGAAGUGCCCGAAUCUUGAUCAUGUGGCUGCAGGGAUGCUGCGAUGGUCAUAAAUGUGAGGACUGGUCAUCAAAUUACUUUUUUCAGCACCAUUGUAACUUUGAACAGUCACUAAACAGGGCAGUCAUCAAGUAAGGUCUGCCUGUACCAUCUAUAGUAUCUAAAAAUCAGAAAGAAAGAAUGUAUCAUGACCAUAUACUGCUUUUGGGGAAACCCAACCAGAAUAUUUCCUUGGGAUGUGUAUUCAAUUUCCCUGUGCAAUGCUUCAGGAAAAAAUAUCUGUGUUAAUAGCAAUAAAAAUAAGAAACUGAAAUAGUUUUUUCUCUUUAGAAUAAAUGUAUGAAUAUACAUCAUUUCAAAAAAUAAUUAGCUGUGUUAAUUUGUUAAGACAGAUCCUAAAGACAAUGUAUUAAGGCAUACAUUUACUGAAAUAUAAA